AACCGAGUCUUAAUUGGGCGUUAAGUUGCAGGGUAUAGACCCGAAACCCGGUGAUCUAGCCAUGGGCAGGUUGAAGGUUGGGUAACACUAACUGGAGGACCGAACCGACUAAUGUUGAAAAAUUAGCGGAUGACCUGUGGCUGGGGGUGAAAGGCCAAUCAAACCGGGAGAUAGCUGGUUCUCCCCGAAAGCUAUUUAGGUAGCGCCUCGUGAAUUCAUCUCCGGGGGUAGAGCACUGUUUCGGCUAGGGGGCCAUCCCGGCUUACCAACCCGAUGCAAACUGCGAAUACCGGAGAAUGUUAUCACGGGAGACACACGGCGGGUGCUAACGUCCGUCGUGAAGAGGGAAACAACCCAGACCGCCAGCUAAGGUCCCAAAGUCAUGGUUAAGUGGGAAACGAUGUGGGAAGGCCCAGACAGCCAGGAUGUUGGCUUAGAAGCAGCCAUCAUUUAAAGAAAGCGUAAUAGCUCACUGGUCGAGUCGGCCUGCGCGGAAGAUGUAACGGGGCUAAACCAUGCACCGAAGCUGCGGCAGCGAACGUAUCACUUAAAGCGAUUCAGCGGGUUACGA
rnacentral:rRNA from 1 species